rnacentral:piRNA from 1 species
UAGAUUAGUAGUGAGGCGCAUCACCCCAC